rnacentral:rRNA from 1 species
CACAUGCAAGUCGAGCGGAACGAUGAUAGCUUGCUAUCAGGCGUCGAGCGGCGGACGGGUGAGUAAUACUUAGGAAUCUACCUAGUAGUGGGGGAUAGCUCGGGGAAACUCGAAUUAAUACCGCAUACGACCUACGGGAGAAAGGGGGCAACUUGUUGCUCUCGCUAUUAGAUGAGCCUAAGUCGGAUUAGCUAGAUGGUGGGGUAAAGGCCUACCAUGGCGACGAUCUGUAGCUGGUCUGAGAGGAUGAUCAGCCACACCGGGACUGAGACACGGCCCGGACUCCUACGGGAGGCAGCAGUGGGGAAUAUUGGACAAUGGGGGCAACCCUGAUCCAGCCAUGCCGCGUGUGUGAAGAAGGCCUUUUGGUUGUAAAGCACUUUAAGCAGUGAAGAAGACUCCAUGGUUAAUACCCAUGGACGAUGACAUUAGCUGCAGAAUAAGCACCGGCUAACUCUGUGCCAGCAGCCGCGGUAAUACAGAGGGUGCAAGCGUUAAUCGGAAUUACUGGGCGUAAAGCGAGCGUAGGUGGCUUGAUAAGUCAGAUGUGAAAUCCCCGGGCUUAACCUGGGAACUGCAUCUGAUACUGUUAGGCUAGAAUAGGUGAGAGGAAGGUAGAAUUCCAGGUGUAGCGGUGAAAUGCGUAGAGAUCUGGAGGAAUACCGAUGGCGAAGGCAGCCUUCUGGCAUCAUAUUGACACUGAGGUUCGAAAGCGUGGGUAGCAAACAGGAUUAGAUACCCUGGUAGUCCACGCCGUAAACGAUGUCUACUAGUCGUUGGGUCCCUUGAGGACUUAGUGACGCAGCU